GUCUGGAUACCUCAGCUGGUUAGAGUAUGGUGCUGAUAAUGCCAAAGUUACAGGUUUGAUCUCUAUAUGGGACA